GAUGACUCUUACCUCCAAGGGGCUCCCCUGCUUCAGAAUGUCAUUGGAGAAAAGAUAAGACUGUGGGUGUUUGGAGCAAAGCAACCGGGAUCUGGAGCACACAAGCACAGAACACAGAACAGAAACUAAACAUAACGCAGAGCCAAGAGACGAAGCACAGGACCUGGUCUCCGCUUGUCAAUAAGGUAUACACUGACCAUCAUACAUAAGAUGCACCUGAAAAAUAUUUAUUUUCAUAAGGAAAAUUAUCACUCUCAAUGGGACCAAAGAAAUGAUUAACACUGACAGCAACCAGGUGAAAUAGCUUUGCUAUGAAAUAGUGGCGAUGUCAGAUGCAGACACUGGUGUUGAAAUAUAGAUUUUUUUUUCCUAAAAAAAUUAUUAAGAAUAGGCAAAGAAAGGACUGCUGACACAGAUGAAGAUAGAAAAUCUGUUACACUGAAGCUGUUAUACUGAAGAAGUUUUACAGCUAGCCUGAGAGAAGCUGUUACACUGAAGAAGUUUUACAGCUAGCCUGAGAGAAAGAAAACAUAAAUCAAGAGAUGAGAAGGAAAGUAAGAAGAUACAAUAAUUUUUACCACCAAGACAUGUUUAUUAAAAAAUAGGAAUUCACAGAGUUCUUAAAUAAAUCCAAGCCCUCAAGUUCUAGCAACACCACUAAACAUGUAAACACUAUGUGCAGUUUCUUGCAAACUAGGAGUACCUGACACUAAAGGCACUGAAUUGGUUAGAGAAGGUGUGCAGGUGACAUCUAAUUCCCAGGAGUGAGUCUGGUGGUGGGCCCCAGACAGAUGGUUCAGCCCUGAGAAGAGAUGUAGGCUGAAACAUGGGGAUAGAGGAGGAACAAGGCAGUAAGCAGCAGAGGGACCAAUGCACUAAGAGGGUAGGCCAUAUGGGAACAUUCACAUGAAGGUUAUAAAUAAAUUGACCGAUUUUAUGUUAAUAUCAAAAUUAAAGCCAUAUAUAUUCAGUAAAUAACUAUAAUAUAGAUUAAUACUGGGCAGUUCCACAAUUCUAUUCUUAAGCAAUUUUACAAUAAGUACAAAUAAGAUCCUAAGUAUUUGCAAGAGGAGAAAAUUUUAAAUAAAUGAUGUGCAUGUUGAUUAUUUUGAGGUACAUGACUUGGGCUUUGGGAUUAAUAUACAAUGAUAGGAUUGUAUAUUAAUAUAUGAUGUUAGGAAUUGAAUCACAUUGAAAUUUCUGGCAACUUUUAAAAAAAUUGUUAUUGUCAACAGUAUUACAAAUGUCCAUUUCCCUGCUUUACACCCUUUGCACAGCUCCUGCCCCAACCCAGGCCUUCAGCACAUUAUUCUCUGUAUCCAUGGGCUAUGCAUAUAAGUUCUUUGGUUAAUC